UACGGAGGGUGCGAGCGUUGUCCGGAAUCACUGGGCGUAAAGGGCGCGUAGGCGGCUCAUGAAGGCUGUGGUGAAAGUCAGCGGCUCAACCGCUGGACUGCCUUCGAGACUGCCUGGCUUGAGCAUGGUAGAGGCUGGCGGAAUUCCCGGUGUAGCGGUGGAAUGCGUAGAGAUCGGGAAGAACAUCGGGGGCGAAGGCGGCCAGCUGGGCCAUUGCUGACGCUGAUGCGCGACAGCGUGGGGAGCAAACAGG
rnacentral:rRNA from 1 species